AAUUUUUUUUAAUACCAUUUUCAGCUUUUCGUUCCUUUCUUUUUUCUCUUCUUCAGGCGACAAUGUCUCCCUCUUCCUCCAUUAUGCAAGCUUCUCUUCUUCCAUGGCCUCCUCACUUCCUCCGCAUGGAAGUCUCCUGAAGCACCCUUCAACAUAAACGUUGAUGCUGAUGGAAGCCUCUAUAAUCUUCCCCUCACUGUGAUUGUUGUUGAAUUAUUGGCAAUAAAAAUGGUUUGCAGCUGGCUAAUAGAUUUGGUUUGAGCUAUUUUCUGGUUGAAACGGACUGCCUCAAUGUUGUCCAUUGGCUUAAGCAAAAUAGCAAUUUAUGUAGUGAUGUUGAUGGAAGUUUUUUGAACAUUAAGUCUCUGUGUUGUAAUCCGGGACUAUUAGGCAUUAGUUUUACUCAUAGAAAUGCUAAUGGGCUUGUAAUCCUGUGACUUUGAAUACUAAAUCUUCUACUACUUGGAAUAGGGAUGUGCCCGUUUCUUUUUUUGUUAUGCAUACAUAGCAGACCUGCCAUUUCAAUUCCCAUGUAAUAUCUUUCUCUUUUUCAAAGUAAUGUAAUCUGGUUUUGUUUGAAUGAAA